rnacentral:precursor_RNA from 1 species
GCUGGUGCCGCCCCUUCCCCCCGAAAGAACUAUAAGGGUAGUAGGCGAGUUCAGCCCGCGUGGCCUGUCGCUCCACCUCUGAUCCUGGGGCCAUAGGCGCGGACGGGUCAGUCAGAUGAGCCUACUAUCCACAACCCGUUGUCAUUGCCGCCGCGACUGCUAGGUGUUUCCGUCUCUCGCCGUGCUUUCCUUCUAAGGUGCGCCUCUGUAUGUUUGCGCGGUGUAGUCUGGCUCAGUUGGACGUCACCUAGAAGUCGUCCCGGGAUUACGAGUGUUCAUCGUCAGUGGGCCGUCUCCACAGUCGGGUUAGUGUAGAGGGACCGGUCUCAGCCGCAGGGUGCAUGACAGGUGAACCCCUUCGGUCUGGAUCCCACCCUCUCCUUGCCCACUCGAGACGACAUCUUGCCCGACGGUGUCCUCAGUGGUCCGCCUCCUGUCUGAACUGGCGGCUCUACGCUGUAGAGUCUCGGUGGCACCCCCAGCUGGCACGUUGGCUCCAACUCGCUUUACCGGCCACCACAGGUCGCCCCGACGCUGGGGGCAGGGACAUGCCCCCAACCCCAGUGUCUAACCCUUCGGCAGCUCAUAGCCGGUUUGGGGGCACACAGAACCCCUGUGUUCUCCACCUUUGGGUGGGGGGCGUACGGUUUGGGGGUAGGGCCCUAUCAUAAACCAUCAAACACACCGAUGCCACCCAUACCAAAGACUUUAACGAAGUGCGGCGGACCUCAUGCCCUGCACAUUUGGGACGCCCGACCACUAUGAG